CGGAGGGUGCAAGCGUUAUCCGGAAUCAUUGGGUUUAAAGGGUCCGCAGGCGGUCUUAUAAGUCAGUGGUGAAAGCCUACAGCUUAACUGUAGAACUGCCAUUGAUACUGUAAGACUUGAAUUCGGUCGAAGUGGGCGGAAUGUGACAUGUAGCGGUGAAAUGCUAGAUAUGUCACAGAACACCGAUAGCGAAGGCAGCUCACUAGGCCUGGAUUGACGCUCAUGGACGAAAGCGUGGGGAGCAAACAGGAUUAGAUACCCUGGUAGUCCACGCCGUAAACUAUGAUUACUCGUUUUCGGCGAUAUACAGUCGGAGACUAAGCGAAAGUGAUAAGUAAUCCACCUGGGGAGUACGAUCGCAAGGUUG
rnacentral:rRNA from 1 species